AUUGAACGCUGGCGGCAGGCCUAACACAUGCAAGUCGAGCGGGGUUUUCGGACCUAGCGGCGGACGGGUGAGUAAUGCGUAGGAAGCUGCCCGAUAGAGGGGGAUACCAGUUGGAAACGACUGUUAAUACCGCAUAAUGUCUACGGACCAAAGUGUGGGACCUUCGGGCCACAUGCUAUCGGAUGCGCCUACGUGGGCUUAGCUAGUUGGUGAGGUAAUGGCUCACCAAGGCGACGAUCUCUAGCUGGUUUGAGAGGAUGAUCAGCCACACUGGAACUGCGACACGGUCCAGACUCCUACGGGAGGCAACAGUGGGGAAUAUUGGACAAUGGGCGCAAGCCUGAUCCAGCCAUGCCGCGUGUGUGAAGAAGGCCUUCGGGUUGUAAAGCACUUUCAGCGAGGAGGAAGGGGUGUGUGUUAAUAGUNCACACCUUUGACGUUACUCGCAGAAGAAGCACCGGCUAACUCUGUGCCAGCCGCCGCAGUAAAA
rnacentral:rRNA from 1 species